rnacentral:rRNA from 1 species
CCUACGGGAGGCAGCAGUGAGGAAUAUUUGUCAAUGGACGAGCGUCUGAACCAGCCAAGUAGCGUGAAGGAUGACUGCCCUAUGGGUUGUAAACUUCUUUUAUAUGGGAAUAAAAUGUUCCACGUGUGGGAUUUUGUAUGUACCAUAUGAAUAAGGAUCGGCUAACUCCGUGCCAGCAGCCGCGGUAAUACGGAGGAUCCGAGCGUUAUCCGGAUUUAUUGGGUUUAAAGGGAGCGUAGGUGGAUUGUUAAGUCAGUUGUGAAAGUUUGCGGCUCAACCGUAAAAUUGCAGUUGAAACUGGCAGUCUUGAGUACAGUAGAGGUGGGCGGAAUUCGUGGUGUAGCGGUGAAAUGCUUAGAUAUCACGAAGAACUCCGAUUGCGAAGGCAGUUCACUGGACUGCAACUGACACUGAGGCUCGAAAGUGUGGGUAUCAAACAGGAUUAGAUACCCGAGUAGUC